rnacentral:rRNA from 1 species
CUCAAAUGAAUUGACGGGGGCCCGCACAAGCGGAGGAACAUGUGGUUUAAUUCGAUGAUACGCGAGGAACCUUACCCGGGCUUGAAUUGCAGAGGAACAUAGUUGAAAGAUUAUGGCCGCAAGGUCUCUGUGAAGGUGCUGCAUGGUUGUCGUCAGCUCGUGCCGUGAGGUGUCGGCUUAAGUGCCAUAACGAGCGCAACCCUUAUCAUUAGUUACUAACAGGUCAUGCUGAGGACUCUAGUGAGACUGCCGUCGUAAGAUGUGAGGAAGGUGGGGAUGACGUCAAAUCAGCACGGCCCUUACGUCCGGGGCUACACACGUGUUACAAUGGGGGGUACAGAGGGCAGCUACCGGGCGACCGGAUGCCAAUCCCAAAAACCUCUCUCAGUUCGGAUCGAAGUCUGCAACCCGACUUCGUGAAGCUGGAUUCGCUAGUAAUCGCGCAUCAGCCACGGCGCGGUGAAUACGUUCCCGGGCCUUGUACACACCGCCCGUCAAGCCAUGGGAGCCGGGGGUACCUGAAGUACGUAACCGCAAGGAGCGUCCUAGGGUAAAACUGGUGACUGGGGCUAAGUCAUAACAAGGUAGCCGUACCGGAAG